CUCAGAGACCUAAAAAUUUAUGCACGCAACCUGUUUGAUCAAAGUCCUCAGCGAGAUGCUUGAUACUAUGUGAUGAAUUUCGAGAUGUUAUAUGUAGCUAUGAUUUCUGAUCAACACUGCUCCUCUCUUCCUAAGGCAGGUGGUGCGAUGGCAAGAGAAGCUGCGAAGGGGUCGUUCGGUGAGAAAGCAUUAGGUCCAUAGUUAGCUGGUGAAUGUGGUGCCGGCAAUGCCAGUAUGGCUGGUCUCCCAGCCACGCUGCUAGCACUUCCGUUGGCAUAGAAACCCGAGGAAGCUUGCAUUCCCCCAUAUUGGUACAUGCUAUUAAAAACCAACGGAUCGAAGCCUUGAGGGAGAGACGGCUUCUGGUUUGACAAAUGGCUAGCGGACUGAACUAAGGCCGUCUCCCAAUCCCCUGAUUCUGGUUCGUUGAAGGCUUCCCAUGGCGAACUUGUGCUUGUGGAAGGAGUCGUGGCGGGAUAGCCGUCAAACAGAGCUAAAGCCAGUUGAUCCCCAAGAUCCUGAGGAGUUGGUGUGUCGUCGUACAGGUUCAGCAGAUCGCCUUCUACUUGAGUUUUCUUAUAUUGCUGUGGUGCAGGAGUCAUCUUUAAAUCAUCUGCUGUUUCUUCCUUGAUUGGUGAGAGCAACUUUUGAGGCUCCUCUAUCCAGGCUUCUUUUGCGAGGGCGAGUGCUGCUUGCUGUGGCUCGAUGGCCUUCCUGCUGUGCAGUGUGGAUGACUUGUGGUGGAUGAAGUCGUCCAUCAUGUCGAGUUUUGGCUGGGAGAUUUUCUCCACGUUGGGAUACUCGUGGAAACGCAUGAUCCCGACAUUCUUGCACCAGCUGUAGAAGCCAUCAAGCUCGUCAUACUGCUUGGAGACGUGCAAGAAGAUGUCGUGGACUUGCAUCAUGUCAGAACCUCUGAAGAAGCUGCAUGAGAUGAUCAGCUCGGGCGAAAACAGCCUCGGUGUCCAUCUCAGACACGGGAGUAGCCCUCACAAUGACGGCACCGUCAUCCUCCUCCUCCUCCUCCUCCACCUUACGAUCUCUGCCCCUCUCGGCAUGGCCCUGCAUCCUGAACUCGAGGAGCUCGUCCAAGUACAAGGCGUACGUGCGGACAAAUGCAGAGUAGUCCCACGCCUUCCUUGACGAAUCCCUGAAAUCGCAGAGGUUGAGGAAGCGCGUCCCGCGCCUGGUGGUGAAAAAGAUGUCCUGCUCGAAGGCAGUGCCUCCCUGAGACAGGAGGCGCUGGACGAGCAGGAGGGCCUUCAGGGCCACCACCCAGUUCUUGGUCCGGUUGAGGCGGCGGGCAAUGAUGGCGAUGCAGGAGUUGACCAUGGAGCGAGAGUAGCACGUGAGGCUGAGGAUCUCGGCCACGUAGCACUGGUUGGGGGGGUUCUGGCCAUGGCGGGUGGCUUUGACAAUGGCCACUUCGAGGUCGGAGAGGGAGCUGCUGCCGGUGGAGACCUUGGCCAGGCUGAUGCUGGUGUGAUCCUUGAAUGCUCCUAUAACUUCUUUCAUCUUGCUCGAGGCCAUGCGUUUUUUUCUUCCUUUUCGUUCGUCAAUGCUUUAUGUAUUCGAGUUUGAUCAACUUUUUCGAGUUGUUGAGGAUGAAAGAGGGUCAGAGAGAUGGAGAAGGAGAAGAGGAUUUGAGGAAACUACCUAUUUGGAUUCAAGAAUCUAAACAGGUUGAACUCCUGUUUAUUUUCUCCUUCUCUAUCUCUCUCUCUCUGUCUGUGUAUCUCUCUCUCUCUCUUCCUUCUUGAUCUCAUGUUUGUUUUGUGGAGUUGAAAAGAUUGGCCUCAAAUUUGGCAUGAAAUCAGGACACCCAGUGAAGUCAAUGGGGUUAACAUGUUUGUGGUGGAGAUUAUAGUAUGUUUAUAACUGUUUGUUAAAUGAUUCUUUGUGGAAAGAUCAUACAGUAUGAUAUACUAAUUGAUGUGUGUAGUCUCUUUUUCAA